rnacentral:rRNA from 1 species
GAUGAACGCUAGCGGCAGGCUUAAUACAUGCAAGUCGAGGGGCAGCAUGACUGUAGCAAUACAGUUGAUGGCGACCGGCAAACGGGUGCGGAACACGUACAGAACCUUCCUUCGAGCGGGGAAUAGCCCAGAGAAAUUUGGAUUAAUACCCCAUAGUACAACGGAGUGGCAUCACUUUGUUGUUAAAGAUUUAUCACUUGAAGACGGCUGUGCGGCUGAUUAGGUAGUUGGCGGGGUAACGGCCCACCAAGCCUGCGAUCAGUAACUGGUGUGAGAGCACGACCAGUCACACGGGCACUGAGACACGGGCCCGACUCCUACGGGAGGCAGCAGUAAGGAAUAUUGGUCAAUGGACGAAAGUCUGAACCAGCCAUGCCGCGUUGAGGAUGAAGGUCCUCUGGAUUGUAAACUUCUUUUAUAUGGGACGAAAGAAGGGUUUUCUAACUCGUCUGACGGUACCAUAUGAAUAAGCACCGGCUAACUCCGUGCCAGCCGCCGCAGUAAAAC